rnacentral:rRNA from 1 species
CUUCGGGGUGAGCGGCGGACGGGUGAGUAACGCGUGGGAAUAUGCCCUUCUCUAAGGAAUAGCCUCGGGAAACUGAGAGUAAUACCUUAUACGCCCUACGGGGGAAAGAUUUAUCGGAGAAGGAUUAGCCCGCGUUAGAUUAGGUAGUUGGUGGGGUAAUGGCCUACCAAGCCUACGAUCUAUAGCUGGUUUGAGAGGAUGAUCAGCCACACUGGGACUGAGACACGGCCCAGACUCCUACGGGAGGCAGCAGUAGGGAAUCUUAGACAAUGGGGGAAACCCUGAUCUAGCCAUGCCGCGUGUGUGAUGAAGGCCUUAGGGUCGUAAAGCACUUUCGCCAGAGAUGAUAAUGACAGUAUCUGGUAAAGAAACCCCGGCUAACUCCGUGCCAGCAGCCGCGGUAAUACGGAGGGGGUUAGCGUUGUUCGGAAUUACUGGGCGUAAAGCGCACGUA